rnacentral:rRNA from 1 species
GCUUGCUGCUUUGCUGACGAGUGGCGGACGGGUGAGUAAUGUCUGGGAAACUGCCCGAUGGAGGGGGAUAACUACUGGAAACGGUAGCUAAUACCGCAUAACGUCGCAAGACCAAAGAGGGGGACCUUCGGGCCUCUUGCCAUCGGAUGUGCCCAGAUGGGAUUAGCUAGUAGGUGGGGUAACGGCUCACCUAGGCGACGAUCCCUAGCUGGUCUGAGAGGAUGACCAGCCACACUGGAACUGAGACACGGUCCAGACUCCUACGGGAGGCAGCAGUGGGGAAUAUUGCACAAUGGGCGCAAGCCUGAUGCAGCCAUGCCGCGUGUAUGAAGAAGGCCUUCGGGUUGUAAAGUACUUUCAGCGGGGAGGAAGGGAGUAAAGUUAAUACCUUUGCUCAUUGACGUUACCCGCAGAAGAAGCACCGGCUAACUCCGUGCCAGCAGCCGCGGUAAUACGGAGGGUGCAAGCGUUAAUCGGAAUUACUGGGCGUAAAGCGCACGCAGGCGGUUUGUUAAGUCAGAUGUGAAAUCCCCGGGCUCAACCUGGGAACUGCAUCUGAUACUGGCAAGCUUGAGUCUCGUAGAGGGGGGUAGAAUUCCAGGUGUAGCGGUGAAAUGCGUAGAGAUCUGGAGGAAUACCGGUGGCGAAGGCGGCCCCCUGGACGAAGACUGACGCUCAGGUGCGAAAGCGUGGAGAGCAAACAGGAUUAGAUACCCUGGUAGUCCACGCCGUAAACGAUGUCGACUUGGAGGUUGUGCCCUUGAGGCGUGGCUUCCGGAGCUAACGCGUUAAGUCGACCGCCUGGGGAG